AUGCUACGUGCUGAAAAUGUACUGGUCACAGACUCUACUAUGAUACGUGCUGGAGAUGUACUGGUCACNNNNNNNNNNUGGAGAUGUACUGGUCACAGACUCUACUAUGGUACGUGCUGGAGAUGUACUGGUCACAGACUCUACUAUGGUACGUGCUGGAGAUGUACUGGUCACAGACUCUACUAUGCUAAAUGGUCACAGACUGUACUUUGGACAGGUCACACGUCUGGAUAUGGUUAAAAAAACAACAUUGAGUAAUUAAGGAGAAGUGGAUCCCCCUACUUUUGCUCCAGAGGCCCAAUUGGCAACAUGUUUACAGCAAUAUACAUAUAUUGGUAAUGAAAAAUCUCAUGGUUCUCUCUUGAACCUCUGCAGCAGACAUAGCCUACUAUGGUAAGCAAUGUGUUUGGAACAUCAAAUCACUAAAUUGCAGUAUUGAAUCGUGAUAUAGAAUUGUGAUACAUCAGAUUUUAUUGGAUGAAAUUAUAGCGUAUAUGAUUUGAGACUGCUAGACCAAUUGAUCCAGCCUUUCCCAGGCACUCUCUAGCAGCCAGGCCUAGAGAGACACGCCCAGCCUGGUGAUAGAGGCCUUGAAAGUACCUCCAUGUCCCUGGUGCUACCAUCUACCCCUUGGGUUGGGGCUGCCUGUGACAGAGCUACAUUACAAAAGCACUAAAGGCUAAACCUGUGUGACCCAGAAACAACACUGACUAACAGUAACAGAACAGUCCUGGGGCACGGACAGCGUUGUGGAACAUUCAGAUUGAAAUAUGUUACGAUAGAACAAACAUGCCACUUUGACAUGUAGAAUAAGGAAUAAUGUCAGCUCAUGUCAUUUCUAUCUGCAACAAUCUACUAGCCUUCUUUCUUUGGAUUACCUGCCAUUUAGGGACCUACCUUCUGCAACAACAUAACAUGUUUACCACAGCACAGGAUCAUGUCUGGGAACAGAGAGAGCUAGCUAGAUCAGUGAGCUACACUACGGUACAGACACUUUCCAGGGCCUAGCUCUCUCUCUUUGUCUCCUCUCUCGUGUGAAAUCCCCCCACCACAACAGGAAUAAUGACUCCCUCCCUGAGUGAGCACUCCACACCGCUCUCCCCCUCACUAGAUCAACUAUCUAUUUACAGAGCAUUGUGCCACGUACGAUCAAACAACCAAACCAGGCAUCCAUCCAUAAGCAGGCAGGCUUGUGAUUGCAUUACUUUGAAUGGAGAGGGCUGAGAAAAACAAAACGCCAGGCGAUUGCUUAAAGAGUGCUGCUCACUGUAGCUAAGAAUAAAGGAGACGUGGACAGAGAGAAGACGUCUUUCGCAGCUUGUUGUGGGGUGGAUACGGCUGUAGCUAGCAGCAGCCUACUGUCGGGGGGCUGGAAAGGGAGUGAAAUUAAUCAUUGCACAAAAACACACACGACAGGGGCUGCUUUUAGUAAGCUGAUCUAGGGAGAGCCACAGAGAGAGAUCCCCAUCACCCGAUACAGUCCAGGGAAGUGGAGUGUUGAUAGGAUUGAUUACUGUUCACAUUAACUUCACUCUCAUUCAACUUCUAUUUAACCAGCUGAUGGGCUAUGGAGCAGGCUGUAAUAAGGUAACAUUGCUAUUCCAGAAAAUGAUUAACAUGUAACCUAGUGUUUCAAACCGUUGGACAGGACAAGCCAUGUACACGCAACAGCAGCAGCAGCAACAAAUGUUGGGAGACAAAGACAGGAACUUGAGUCCAUCUGUUCUUCUGAGACGACUCAGCCAUGCGUGCAGGAAGCCUUUACAGUUAGCGCUGUGGGAUUACAGAGGGCCUCAAAUCUCCCACUGUCACAGAAGCCCUGAUCCAAGACCCUGGAAAACACAGCCCGUCACUCAAGUCUGGGCCCCUGCUAUAGAACCCUGAAACAGAUUUACGAAUCGUAACGAAGACCGUUACAAACAUUGACCAAUGCGAAAACAAGACGGUAGGCUGCGUGGGUCUAAUGUUUGAAAGUGUGAAACAGCAUCACAAAUGUAAUAAUACAGCAGGGUAAAUAUGACAUACUAUUAUACCCAUUAGGCCUUUCUCAUUGUCCCCACUGAUUCAACAGGAGCCUUUUCUCCUUGUCUGUCAUCACACAAAACCACUGGCUCCUUCCCUACAGUGUGCCAGCAAUCUAGUUAAUGCAGGCCUGUAACAAAGGGGCAGUGCAGUGAAGGACCUGUUCAAUGUGGCAUCACAUGGACUGACACAGCAGCAGAGGGAGGGGCGGGGGUCACACGGUUCCUGUAAGGGCAGACAAAGGCAUGCUGAUGAGGGCCGGAUGUCAGACAAGGGGGCACAACGGGGCCAAACCCGGGACAGCUAAAGCCCAGGAUUGGUAUUCCACUCAGUGACUGCCUGAUUGACUCAUUGCUUGGGAUGUGUGUGCGGUGGAAUGGGACACACACACAGUCUAACAAGAAGGGAAGCGUUCCUGCCAGGCCAACCCUUCUCUCCCUCACUUCUGGGGUGUCACUUCAGCAAAGACACAAUGUAACACAUGCACACAGACCACCUCACCCAAUGGACCCCUUCCCCCACGCACAAAAAGAUGCCGAGUUGAGUGACGGACCUUGAGGCAGGCGACUCCGGGAAUGAUGACAGAUAACUCAGGCCAGCGAAGCAUGUGAAAACACAGCCCCAGGCUCCCAUAGCACAGCCUCCCUGAAGAUUCACUGGCUAUCCGACAUGCUUCAGAGAACCGCUAUCCAAUCACUUAUUAUGGUCUUUCAGUUGGGGAUUCAGGCCCUAUCCAGCCCAGCCUGAGAGAGGUUUAACCUUAAACAACAAUGUCUGGUUAUGAAUAUCCAUAAUAAUAAAAAAUCCAUGUCCUGAUUAACUCAAGAGAGGAAAAUGUGUCACUGACUCAGUAAAACACAACAUGCACAACAUCAGAACAAAUGACGUACGGAAGAAGUUCCCUACAUGUUUAAGGGCACCUUCAGAAAAGUCCUUCCCUUGUUAAGACUGCGAGUACAACUUCAAAUCAAAGUUUAUUUGUCACGUGCGCCGAAUACAACAGGUGUACACCUUACAGUGAAAUGCUUACUUACAGGCUAUAACCAAUAGUGCAAAAAAAGGUGUUAGGUAAAUAAAGAAAUAAAACAACAGUAAAAAGACAGGCUAUAUACAGUAGCGAGGCAAUAAAAGUAGCGAGGCUACAUACAGACACCGGUUAGUCAGGCUGAUUGAGAUAGUCACUAACCAUAUCUACAUGUACAUACUAUGCAUAUAUAAUGAACAAAGAGUAGCAGUAGCGUAAGAGAGGGGUUGGUGGGUGGCGGGACACAAUGCAGAUAGCCCGGUUAGCCAAUGUAGUAUGUACAUGAAUGUAUAG
rnacentral:lncRNA from 13 species